rnacentral:rRNA from 1 species
GACGAACGCUGGCGGCGUGCCUAAUACAUGCAAGUUGAGCGAUGAAGCUUGGUGCUUGCACCAAUUUGAAGAGCAGCGAACGGGUGAGUAACGCGUGGGGAAUCUGCCUUUGAGCGGGGGACAACAUUUGGAAAGGAAGGCAAAUACGCAAUACCACCUUAAAAAAUAGGUUUAAGGUUGAAAAGAGGAAAUGGAUUAAUCAAAGAAGGACCCGCGUUGUUUUAGCUUGUUGGUGAGGUAAAGGCUCACCAAGGCGAUGAUACAUAGCCGACCUGAGAGGGUGAUCGGCCACCUUGGGACUGCGACACGGCCCAAACUCCUACGGGAGGCAGCAGUAGGGAAUCUUCGGCAAUGGACGAAAGUCUGACCGAGCAACGCCGCGUGAGUGAAGAAGGUUUUCGGAUCGUAAAACUCUGUUGGUAGAGAAGAACGUUGGUGAGAGUGGAAAGCUCAUCAAGUGACGGUAACUACCCAGAAAGGGACGGCUAACUACGUG